rnacentral:rRNA from 1 species
CGAACGCUGGCGGCAGGCUUAACACAUGCAAGUCGAACGGGUGGUAGCAAUACAUCAGUGGCAGACGGGUGAGUAACACGUGGGAACCUUCCUAGGGGUACGGGAACAACUCAGGGAAACUUGAGCUAAUACCGUAUACGUCCGUGAGGAGAAAGAUUUAUCGCCCUUAGACGGGCCCGCGUCGGAUUAGCUAGUUGGUGGGGUAACGGCCUACCAAGGCGACGAUCCGUAGCUGAUCUUAGAGGAUGAUCAGCCACACUGGGACUGGGACACGGCCCAGACUCCUACGGGAGGCAGCAGUGGGGAAUCUUGGACAAUGGGCGCAAGCCUGAUCCAGCCAUGCCGCGUGAGUGAAGAAGGUCUUCGGAUUGUAAAGCUCUUUUGCCAGGGACGAUAAUGACGGUACCUGGAGAAUAAGCCCCGGCAAACUUACGUGCCAGCAGCCGCGGUAAUCUGAUGGCGCGAGG